UAAUGCUCUCCUUCUGCCCUCCUCUGCUCCUAUGGCGAUGAAACAAAGGAGUUUCAACGACGUCACACCAGUAAGUUGCCUUUACUCCCUUCCUCGUUUUGUUUAUUUGUUGUUUUUUAGAAGCAAAAGAAAAGAACUAAAAUAAAUUAAAAAAACAGUAAAGGAUCAGAGAAAAAUAAAACCAAAUCCCACCUUCAAAAAUAUUUUUCUGUAUAUUUUCUUUUUGAUUUCAGUACAAAAAAUUUUCUAACCCCCCUUACAUAAAUCCAUUGGCUUUUUAUAGCCAAAACUCCUUUACAAUUUGUUGUCUCUAUCCUAUUAGUGUUGCCCAUGGUUUAUUCGUUGCAGGUAUGUGGAAAAAGCAAGGUGUGCUGAUCGUGGGUGGUUGCUGCGAUGUGAGCAGUUGCUGCGGCAUUCGCGGAGGCUUUUUGCUGCUGCAGUACUGAGGCAAAAGGGCUAGGCUCCUUGAUUCUGUUAUGGGUUUAUUGGGCUAAUGUAAUUGGGUUACAAUUUGGGCUUGUAACAUUUGUAAUUGGGCUACGUAAAUUAAGAUUUUAAAUGGACUGGAGACCUUUGUUUAUUUAAGCCUGGGCUAAAAUUGGGUAUUACAGCUGCCCCUCUUUGCUCGUUGUCGUGUAACGAGAACAGGGCAAAGACUUUAAGAUAGCCAAUUUUGCCCGGGCAUACUGGACCUUAGCGCUACUCAAGUAGCCUCAUUCCAACCUACUGCGUCUUCAGAGGUAUAGGAAUCAGUGCUUUAAUCCACUCCACUACAACAUCAAGGAGAUAGGACUUGUACCCUGUAACUUCUCAAAAGAACAAAAUUUGCUAUCUUUAGUCUGCUCCAUUGCAACUUCAGGGAGAUAUGACUUGUAGCUUCAAUUUAUUCCACUGAAAGUUGACGCGACCUGCUCCUUUGCAAUUCAUAGAGAUAAGAUCCGUGGUGUUAAUCCGCUCUACUGCAACUUCAGGGAAAUAGGAUUAUCUUCUUCAAUUUAUCCAAUUACAAUGUCGAGGAAACAAGAUCCGCCGUCAUCAGUCUACUCCACUACUGCUUAGGGAGAUAAGAUCUGUUAUUCUUCGAUCGAUUCCACUGUCGACCAGGAAGAUAGAAUUACUGGCUUCAAUGUACUCCACUGUAACCCCAGGGAGGUAAAAUCCGCCAUCUUCAAUCUGCUCUACUACCGCUUAGGGAAAUAAGAUCCGAAAUCUUUAAUCUAUUCCACUGCUACCCAGGGAAGUAGAAUUAUUGGCUUCAAUGCACUCCACUGUAACCACAGGGAGGUAAAAUCUGCCAUUUUUGAUCUGCUCCACUAUUGCUUAGGGAGACAAGAUCUGAAAUCUUCAAUCUAUUCCACUGCUGCCCAGGGAAGUAGAAUUAUUGGCUUCAAUGUACUCCACUGUAACCACGAGGAGGUAAAAUCUGCCAUCUUCGAUCUGCUUCGCUGUCUAUGCAGGAAGGUAAGAUCUAAAAUCUUCAAUCUAUUCCGCUACUGCCUAGGGAAGUAGAAUUACCGGCUUCAAUGUACUCCACUGUAACCACAGGGAGGUAAAAUUUGCCAUCUUCGAUCUACUCCACUACUGCCUAGGGAGAUAAGAUCUGUAAUCUUCAAUCUAUUCCACUGCCAACCAGGGAGAUAGAAUUACGGCUUCAAUGUACUCCACUGUAACCACGAGGAGGUAAAAUCUGCCAUCUUCGAUCUGCUUCGCUGUCUAUGUAGGAAGGCAAGAUCUGAAAUCUUUAAUCUAUUCCACUGCUGCCCAGGGAAGUAGAAUUACUGGCUUCAAUGUACUCCACUGUAACCACGAGGAGGUAAAAUCCGCCAUCUUUGAUCUACUCAACUGCCCAAGGAGACAAGGCUGGUCUCUUCGAUCUGCUUCUCUGUUAGUACAAGAAGGCAGGAUCUGUUAUUUUUAACCUACUCCACUACUACCCAGGGAGACAAGGCUGGUAUCUUCGAUCUGCUUCUCUGUCAGUACAGGAAGGUAAGAUCUGCCAUUUUUUAACCUACUCCACUACUGCCCAGGGAGACAAGGCUGGUCUUUUCGAUCUGCUUCUCUGUCAGUACAGGAAGGCAAGAUCUGCCAUAUUCAGUCUGCUCUGCUGCAAACCCAGGGAGGCAAGGCUGGUGUCUUCGAUCUGCUUCGUUGUCAGUACAAGAAGGCAAGAUCUGCUAUAUUCAGUCUGCUCCGCUGCAACCCAGGGAGGCAAGGCUGGUGUCUUUGAUCUGCUUCGCUGUUAGUACAGGAAGGCAAGAUCUGCUAUAUUCAGUCUGCUCCGCUGUAACCCAAUGAUGCAAGGCUGGUGUCUUUGAUCUGCUUCGCUGUCAGUACAGGAAGGCAAGAUCUGCUAUAUUCAGUCUGCUCCGCUGCAAACCCAGGGAGGCAAGGCUGGUGUCUUUGAUCUGCUUCGCUGUCAGUACAGGAAGGCAAGAUCUGCUAUAUUCAGUUUGCUCCGCUGCAAAUCCAGGGAGGCAAGGUUGGUGUCUUUGAUCUACUUCGCUGUCAGUACAGGAAGGCAAGAUCUGCUAUAUUCAGUCUGCUCCGCUGCAAACCCAGGGAGGCAAGGCUGGUGACUUUGAUCUGCUUCGCUGUCAGUACAGGAAGGCAAGAUCUGCUAUAUUUAGUCUACUCCGCUGCAAACCCAGGGAGGCAAGGCUGGUUGUUUCACCGAUCAGUUCUCUGAGAAACAUGACCUAUAUAAUGAACCUAAUUAUGCCUAAGGAUUAGGAUGUCAUGAACAGAAUGAAUCAAUUGCUCCUAACUAGACGUGUAUGAAUGACAUUUGAAUGAAUGUGGAAUAUCAUUUUUUCCGAGAAUGAUCCCGCUUAGGUCGUCAUUACUCAAAGUUUAUUAAGAUUCUACCACUGACGCGCCACAACGUCUUCUUGCUUGGUUAGUCUCUCCAAAGAAACACUUGAUCAGAUUGCCCCCACUAUAAACUUCAAAGUUCAAACUACUGGGAUGCAACAUUGGUACCAUCUUUCUCCCACUGUAACCCAAGGGUAGAAAUAAUCUGGCCUCUCAAUCUUCUCUUAUCGCAAAUGUGAAGCACUUUGGUCCUUUAUACCAUUCUCAAGGUGUCAUACCAAAUGCCUGUGCACAAAUGAAGAAUUUCUUUCCCCAAGAAAACCUCUUCUUAUUGCAAGGUGAUCAUUGCUUAUUUGUUCAAUGAAGCUUUGUCACCAACCUGACAUCUUGUCACUUUGUUCAAUCAAUGCUUUUGACAACAAAAUCUAAAGAGAAAGUCUUAAUUUAGACCUUUCCUUCUCAGAUAUUUCAACCUUUAAACUAGGUGCGUUCUAAACAAUAGUCCUGUUUCAGGUUCCCGUAUUAUUUAGAAACUUCUAGAGCAAUAUGCAAAACUUCCCUUGUGAAAGUUUUAUUAGUCCAUUGAUCAUUAUUUUAAUGCAACACGUUUGCAAAAAAGAACAAAAUGACGGGUAAAAUAGAAUUGAUUUGAGAACAUAGCUUGCAAUGAAUAAAUUAUCAAGAUUAUUGAGAAUAAAAGAUAAAUUAACUUGUAUCGUGAAAAAGAAUGAAGUAUUCCAAGAAUAAGAAAAUAUAAACAGUAUAAAGACUAGGUGCCCUAGAUAUCGCAGCUUGAACUUCUCUGUACAAACUUUCUAAAGACCAUUCUGAGUUUGACGCGUGUUUAGGAGAUCUACAGUACUCUGUCGAUACCCCAAGAAGUCACGUACCCCUUCUUGCUGAUUCAGGCAUAGCAAGAUCACCGCAUGCCCCAUUCUAACCAAAAUUCGAGCCGCCCUUUUCGGGUUUUCAACUCAAAUCCCCUUUGGUCUAAGGCGCCCUUUACGGGUUUUCACCCUAGCCUCUCCACUUUUACUUUUUCAUUUUUACUUUUCAUUUUUUCGUCAUUUUCCAUUUUUUUACGACUCAAAGUGCCCUUUGCUGGUUUUUACCUUGAUCCUCUCCUUCUUUAAGCGAAGUAUUUCUUGACUGAAUCUGAGUUUACAGGAUUAGACAAGUUUUGUACUAUCCAUCUCACCCAAUAUCAGUGCUCCCGGAACAGAUCUUCUUUACAACAUAAGGACUUUCCCAAUUUGGCACUCAUUUUUCUCUAACAUCUUUUUGUAGAGGAAUGAUCUUUUUCAAUACCAGGUCUCCUUCGUAGAAUUCUCUAGGACGAACCUUUUUGUUGUAAGCUCACAUUAUCUGUUUUUGGUACAUCUGACCGUGACGAAUAACUUUUAGCCAAUUUUCUUCAAUUAAGUUCAACUGAUCUUAUCAAGAUUGGAUCUUCAUCCUACUUCAGCUCAGCCAAUACCCGAAGAGAAAGAAUUUUAACUUCAAUGGAAAAAUCGUGAUAAGCUAAAGAGAAAGACAUUGCCUCGGUAGAGGUUUUUUUGUUUCUUUUUGUUUUUUAUUCUUUUUUGUUCUCUUUUUUCUUUUUUCUAUUUUUUUGUUUUUUUGUUUUUUUUUUGUUUUUUUGUUUUUUUGUUUUUGUUUUUGUUUUUUUUUGUUUUGAACUGAAUCUGCACUCAUAGGAUUAGGCAAGUCCAUGUUAUUCUUUUCGAUCAGAAUCAAUAUUAUUCCAGAUAAGGUCUUCCCCAUAAGAUCUUUCACUUUCAUUUUGUAUACAAAAGAUCUUCUUUGGUAUCAGGUUUCUCUCAUAGAGCCUUUUGGGGCGAAACUAUGACGAGAAAAUUUUAGAUUUUCCUCUUCAAUUAGGAUGAAAUCCAACAAAAAUACGGAAAAAUGACAACUUGACUUCAACGGGAUAAGUUAGAGAAGAAGGUAUUGCCCCGGUAAAGAAUUCUAACUGCAUCGUUCAUGAUGUGAAUCUUGAACAUACUGUAAAUUUUUAACGUGCUAUUGCUCAGAUUACAAUAUCAAUGCUUAACCUGGGCAUAUCCUGGUAUAACCAUACGAAGACAUCUUUGAACUCUUGAAGUAACUUAACAAGGUCUUGCUUCGUUUCUCCGAUUAUGCAUGUUCUCUUAAAGUCACAAUCUCCAUUGUUUUUUCAAGAGGUAAAAUUUGUUCUCUUCUUGCUCUACCAUCCUCAACAAGUCUGGAAAUAGGUUACGAUCUAUGUCAUCUUCAAAGUCAUGAGAUCUCUCUAAACACAUGUCUUACUCAAAAGGAGAUUCUAAAUCUGUAGCAAUGCCAUUCAUUUCAUUGAUAUCUGGGGGCCCAAAAAUAAAUACCAAAGAAUAUACAAAAGAAUGUAUAAAUUUAUGAAUAGCUAUCUGUACAGUAUGAUUAUGAAUUAAAUGAAUGAAUGAUUUGGAAAAAAAAUCCAAAAGAAUGAAAGAAUCUAGAAUUAUUCGAAAAGAAUGAAAGAAUAUUGGCUCAAAAAUGAAUGUAAAGGUGUAUUCAUAGAAUAAUGACGUUCAAACAUGAGCCUAUUUCACAAUGGGAUUCUUAUUGCCUCUAGGCUAAAAGCAACAAGUGUGUUUUGAACAUUACUCUAAGUAAGUUCUAAAUACCACAGAGAUUUCUUUUGCAGUCCAAUUAAUUAAAAAACUCCCAAAUUUACAAAGGUGAAUAUCUAACAAGGUCUCUUCUUUAGUUGUGUCUCCAUGUAUGGCAUUGAUGUGAACAUUUCCUACCACUUCUUCAUGCAUCACAUUUACCCCAUUAUCAAAUGUGAUUAGGUAGCAGAUUUUCUGCACUAGAUGAAUCGUCAAAUUUGACAACGCACAUACUGAUAAGCCUUUCAACCACUUUUUUAAAGGCAAUACAAUUUUCUAUAGAAUGCCCUGUAAUUCCUGCAUAAUAAUCGCAUUGUGCACUUGCAUCGUACCAUUUAGGGUACGGAGGCUUUGGGGCUUUGAGUAGAAAGGGGAAACAACGUGCGCAUCGAAUAAGCUUUGAUACAGCUCCUUAUACGACAUUGGAAUUGGUGUGAACUGGAGUUUCUCAGUACCUUGCUUCACACCUGAUUCUUGUCUUGAUGAACCCUGCUGAUUAGCAACCACCUUUCUUGACUGAUUCACCGUAAUCGAUUUGCUGUACGUAUUCACGCUGUUCACCUCAUCUUCUUUUUCCUUUGGGGCUUGCCUUCUGUUAUUUCCUCCAGCAUCAAUCUUUCCACUCCUAAUAGCACUCUCAAUCAUCUCACCACUCAUGACUAUAUCAGCAAAAUUUUUCGUGGCACUGCCUAGCAUGUAUGAAAGGAGCCUUUAGCGUAUUUACAAAAAGCAUCGUAAUUUCUCUUUCAAGGAGCGGUGGUUGGACCUGCACUGCCACCUCCCUCCACCUCUGAGCGUAUUGUCUAAAACCUUCAUUCGACUUUUUCUCCAUGUUCUGUAAAGUGAUCCUAUCAGGAACCAUUUCCGCCACAUGCCCAUACUGCUUCAUAAAAGCCUGUGCUAAAUCCCUCCAAGAGCUAAUCUUAGCACUGCUUAAUUGAUUAUACCAUUUAGACGCUGCCCCCGCGAGGCUAUCCUGAAAACAGUGUAUCAAUAACUGGUCGUUGGUGACAUACCCAGUCAUUCGCCUACAAAACAUAGUAAUGUGGGCUUCAGGGCAAGUGGUCUCAUUAUACUUCUCGAAAUCCGGCAUUUUAAACUUGUACGGAAGCACUAAAUAUGGUACCAAACUUAAAUCCUUAGCAUCCACCCCAUGACAUCCUUCAGUAGUCUCCAUCGCUUUGAAUUUCUCCUCAAUCCACUUCCAUCUUUCUUUGAAUUGCUUUGGUAAUUCCUCUUUUGUUUUCUCUUUUUCAACUGCUUCAUCGAAAUCAGGAACAAUAGGAUUGGCAGUAUUAUUCUCAGGACUGGAACCUGAUCCGGCCUGAAAAUUUAUCGAUCGAAACAUCGGCUUGAAAUUGCUGAGGCUUAAUCGUAACAGAAGAUUUACGCGGGUACACUUCUGCUUGGUGCUGCACAUGUAGAGGAGUGAAGCCUGGAGGAUACUGGAGUCCAUCCUCGCCUUCCUCUUCCAUAUUUGUUACAGGGCUCUUUCGCUUAUCCUUUCCUUCAGUCAACAAUCGCGUUAACUUUGUCAUCAUACUUCCUUGUGAUUCCUCCAUUUUAUUCAUCAAACUUUGUUGAAUCUUCUCGAGUUGUUCCUUCAUUUGCUGCUGAAGCUGAUCUUGCAUUUAUUUUUGGAACCCUUCGAGCUUUUCCAACCUUUGGUCCAUAUUUUUUAAUUUCGCUCUUGUACCGUAACGGUGCUGAGUUGGCUGGUUGGUUUCCAGGUUAACUGAGGAAUAAUUUUAAUCAAUUAGGCUUUUUUAAUGGAUUUUAAUGCAUAUGAUNNNNNNNNNNNNNNNNNNNNNNNNNNNNNNNNNNNNNNNNNNNNNNNNNNNNNNNNNNNNNNNNNNNNNNNNNNNNNNNNNNNNNNNNNNNNNNNNNNNNAAUGCAAAUACAUAAGAUGAAUGCAAAAAGAGACGUUGAUUCUAAUUCAAUUCCAUUUAGAAAACUUUACUAGAAGACAAAUUUCUUUACAUAAAGCAGAUAUAUAUAUACGGCUUUGCCCUCAUACUCCAGGUGAAGACAUCUUCUCCUUCUUCAUUUGGAUGCCAAGAUAAAUCUUGAGAAUUCUUCAAAAGGGGUAUCUCCUCUACCUCUUUUUUGCUUGAUUUUGGUUAUAAUCCAAUGUCUGCCCAUCCCCGUAAUACUCCUCAGCUUCUUUAAGGCAAUUGGAAUGUCAGAAACUCUUGAACAAUCAGCUUGACCUUGAGGCACGAAGUAAAGUCAUGUAUUCCUCAAUCACCCUUCUGCGUUUCUCAGAAUAUAUUCAGGCAGCCGUAUUAUCUUCCACUUUAUCAAGAAACCCAUUUCCCACGAUAAACUUUCUGUUUAGCAACCGAAUACGAAACAACGCCUCUUUAUAAUGGAAUGCCAUGUAAUUGUAAUGCCAUGCAAUCAGAGUAAAACACAAGAAGUCAGUAACAAUUAAAUACAAUACAACCAAGAAAUAGUAAAAGCCUAAUUAGGUGUCUACUAAGGUUCAAAGUAAUUCUACCUAGGGUGGGUUCCUAAGGUUCACUAUAUGAGGUUUUGGCUUCUAGAGCAAGGGUACCCGAACCAACAGAUUCCUCGAUCCUCACCCAUUAUAGGCUCAUAUGGACCAAGUUCGGUUCAGGAGAAUACAUUUCCCUAUGGCUGCACGGAGAUGAAAAUCUCACGAAGACAUAGGUACAGAUGUAUUCCGAAAGCGAUCCACCAUCCUACACGGAGGUGAAAACCUCACGAAGGACUAGUUUCUCACUCCCACUUAAAGGGGUAAAAUCGUCCAUGCAAUGUAAAAUGCAAACACACUAACAAACCUAGACCAAUUAAACAAACAUAUCAUGAUAAAAACCAAUGAAUGCAAAAGAGGAAAUCGUGAUUUAAAACAAAUUUAAAACCUUUUCGACAAGAAGACAAAAACUAAUCAAUUUAUGGUUCGACUCUCUAAAGUCCUCAGCAGAGUCGCCAAGCUGUCGAAACGAUUUUUUGAAAAACAAAAAUUUGGUUAUCCACUUUAAAAACAAAAAUUGGAGUCGCCACCGAUCCUUGAUUGAGGUGUGAUUGGUUCACCUUAAAAACAAUUUUGGCCUGCGAAAUUUGAGAAAACAUGUUCGGGAGUCAGUUACGCACGAGGAAGGGUUAGCACCCUCGUAACGCCCAAAAAUCGGUACCAAAUUGAUUAUUUAAUGUAUUAGUGUCGAAAAUUAAAAAGAUUUUGUUGAACUCAAAUUUUGAAAUCUGAAAAGGAUAAUCAAUUAUUCAAGUCAUAUGAAGAAAUUGAGACCCAAUACGUUAGGGUACAAUUUCUCAAAAUCUCCGAAUUUGAAUAUUGCUUUUUCAUUAAUUUUUUUAAAGAAAAUCUUCAUUUCGAGAAAGCAAUAUGUCAUGCCCAAUGCGUUAGGACAUAACAUAUUAAAUUCCCGAAAAUGAUUUUUGUUUAUAUUUUAAAUAACGAAUAUUCUUGGUUAUUUGGAAUUAACAAAGAAAAUCGAAACCCAAUACGUUAGGGCUCAAUUUUCCUCGAAAAUCCUUAACUUUGAAUAUCGUUUUUAUUUUGAAAACCUUUGAAUCAUAAAAAAUAAUUUUAAUGUUUUGAUAAAAUCAAAAUAUUUAUUUUUAAAAAGUAUGAUAAGAUAUUGAUGCAUAUAUAUACAUGUAUACAAAAAUAAUAAACUUAAUAAAUAUAUAUAUAUAAAGUUUAUAAAAACUAAAAUAUAAGCAUAAUAUUUAGUAAUUAUAAAAAAUAUUGACAUAUAUAUGUAUAUAUAUAAAAAAAAAGUUUAACAGAUAUAUUUAUAAAAGUAUGGAAUAAUGUAGGUAUAUAUGUAUACAUAUUAUAAAAAAUAUUUAUUUUUGGAUCAUAAGAUAUAAAAAAAUAUAAAUAUUAUAAAAAUAUAUACGCAUACAUAUGAAUAUAAAGCUAAGAAAAAUAAAAUAAAAUAAAAAUAAAAUAUAUGAUAUGUAUAUAGUAUAUAUUUAAAACGUUUAAGAAAUAAAAAAACGUGUGUUAAUAUGCAUAUGCGGUAAGUAUAAUAAUAAAAAUAUAUAAUAUAAUGAUAAUAAACUAAUAAUAAUACAGUAAUAAUAAUGUAAUAUAUAAAAAAAACCAAAAUAGCAAAUUAAGGAUUAAACUAAAAAAACAACAAAAUUUGAGAGCUGGAUUUGAAAAUAAAAACAAGAAAAGGAGUAAUUCAAAACAUGCGCAACAGGGGAAGGACUGAAGGAGUAAAUUACCCAAAAAAACACUGCACAGCAAUGCGCAACAUUGGAUUAAACCAAAACAGGAAAAAUUUGAAAAAAAAAAAAGAAAAAAAAGAAAAAACAGUGAUUGUGAAAACCAUAAAGAAAUGAAGGGCCUAAAUCAUAAAUAACCCAUCAACUUGAAAUCAAACAAAAAACCCCCUUUUUAAACCCUAAAAAGAACAUUUUCUUUCUUUCUUUGACAUUGCGCCGUAAUGCUCUCCUUCUGCCCUCCUCUGCUCCUAUGGCGAUGAAACAAAGGAGUUUCAACGACAUCACACUGGUAAGUUUCCUUUACUCCCUUCCUCGUUUUGUUUAUUUGUUGUUUUUUAGAAGCAAAAGAAAAGAACUAAAAUAAAUUAAAAAAACAGUAAAGGAACAGAGAAAAAUAAAACCAAAUCCCACCUUCAAAAAUAUUUUUCUGUAUAUUUUCUUUUUGAUUUCAGUACAAAAAAUUUUCUAACCCCCCUUACAUAAAUCCAUUGGCUUUUUAUAGCCAAAACUCCUUUACAAUUUGUUGUCUCUAUCCUAUUAGUGUUGCCCGUGGUUUAUUCGUUGCAGGUAUGUGGAAAAAGCAAGGUGUGCUGAUCGUGGGUGGUUGCUGCGAUGUGAGCAGUUCCUGCGGCAUUCGCGGAGGCUUUUUGCUGCUGCAGUACUGAGGCAAAAGGGCUAGGCUCCUUGAUUCUGUUAUGGGUUUAUUGGGCUAAUAUAAUUGGGUUACAAUUUGGGCUUGUAACAUUUGUAAUUGGGCCACGUAAAUUAAGAUUUUAAAUGGACUGGGGACCUUUGUUUAUUUAAGCCCGGGCUAAAUUGGGUAUUAUAGCUGCCCCUCUUUGCUCGUUGUCGUGUAACGAGAACAGGGCAAAGACUUUAAGAUAGCCAAUUUUGCCCGGGCAUACUGGACCUUAGCACUACUCAAGUAGCCUCAUUCCAACCUACUGCGUCUUCAGAGGUAUAGGAAUCGGUGUUUUAAUCCACUCCACUGCAACAUCAAGGAGAUAGGACUUGUACCCUGUAACUUCUUAAAAGAACAAAAUUUGCUAUCUUUAGUCUGCUCCAUUGCAACUUCAGGGAGAUAUGACUUGUAGCCAUGAAAAUAUGAAACAUUAUGUGAUAUUGUAUUAUGGUAGCCAUCGAAAUUAUAGGGAAAAAAGUUAUGAAAAAAAGCUUGAAUUGAAUUUAAUAUUCUUUCCAUCGUUCACCAUCGUCGUCAUUGUCUUCGAUCUUCUUCCCGGUUGUUUAUUUGAAAACCUCAAAAUCCAUCCUUGAGCCUUAA
rnacentral:lncRNA from 1 species